rnacentral:rRNA from 1 species
AUUGAACGCUGGCGGCAGGCCUAACACAUGCAAGUCGAACGGUAACAGGAAGAAGCUUGCUUCUUUGCUGACGAGUGGCGGACGGGUGAGUAAUGUCUGGGAAACUGCCUGAUGGAGGGGGAUAACUACUGGAAACGGUAGCUAAUACCGCAUAACGUCGCAAGACCAAAGAGGGGGACCUUCGGGCCUCUUGCCAUCGGAUGUGCCCAGAUGGGAUUAGCUAGUAGGUGGGGUAACGGCUCACCUAGGCGACGAUCCCUAGCUGGUCUGAGAGGAUGACCAGCCACACUGGAACUGAGACACGGUCCGGACUCCUACGGGAGGCAGCAGUGGGGAAUAUUGCACAAUGGGCGCAAGCCUGAUGCAGCCAUGCCGCGUGUAUGAAGAAGGCCUUCGGGUUGUAAAGUACUUUCAGCGGGGAGGAAGGGAGUAAAGUUAAUACCUUUGCUCAUUGACGUUACCCGCAGAAGAAGCACCGGCUAACUCCGUG